GCUUUAGGGCUAGCCUCAAGAUAAAGAGUAUUGGAGGUAGAGCACUGAUUGGACGAGGGGGCCUCAUCGGCUUACUGAAUUCAGUCAAACUCCGAAUGCCAAAUACUUAUGCUUGGGAGUCAGACUACGAGUGAUAAGAUCCGUGGUCAAAAGGGAAACAGCCCAGAUCGCCAGCUAAGGUCCCAAAGUAUACGUUAAGUGGAAAAGGAUGUGGAGUUGCAUAGACAACCAGGAUGUUGGCUUAGAAGCAGCCACCAUUUAAAGAGUGCGUAAUAGCUCACUGGUCGAGUGACUCUGCGCCGAAAAUGUACCGGGGCUAAACGUAUCACCGAAGCUGCGAAUUGACACCGAAGGUGUCAGUGGUAGGGGAGCGUUCUAAGUGCAGAGAAGUCAGAUCGAAAGGACUGGUGGAGCGCUUAGAAGUGAGACUGCCGGUAUGAGUAGCGAAAAGACAGGUGAGAAUCCUGUCCGUCGAAAACCUAAGGUUUCCUGAGGAAGGCUCGUCCGCUCAGGGUUAGUCAGGACCUAAGCCGAGGCCGAAAGGCGUAGGCGAUGGACAACAGGUUGAUAUUCCUGUACCACCUAAUCUUCAUUUGAGUGAAGGGGGGACGCAGAAAGAUAGGGUAAGCGCACGAUUGGAAGAGUGCGUCCAAGCAAUUAGGCUUACAAGUAGGCAAAUCCGCUUGUAGAAAAGGCUGAGUUGUGAUGGCGAGUGAAAAUAUAGUAGCGAAGUUCCUGAUUCUACACUGCCAAGAAAAGCCUCUGGCGAGAAGAUGGGUGCCUGUACCGCAAACCGACACAGGUAGGUGAGGAGAGAAUCCUAAGACGCGCGAGAGAACUCUCGUUAAGGAACUCGGCAAAAUGACCCCGUAACUUCGGGAGAAGGGGUGCUGGCUUUCAGUCAGCCGCAGUGAAUAGGCCCAAGCAACUGUUUACCAAAAACACAGCUCUCUGCUAAAUCGAAAGAUGAUGUAUAGGGGGUGACGCCUGCCCGGUGCUGGAAGGUUAAGAGGAGAGCUUAGCGCAAGCGAAGGUUUGAAUUGAAGCCCCAGUAAACGGCGGCCGUAACUAUAACGGUCCUAAGGUAGCGAAAUUCCUUGUCAGGUAAGUUCUGACCCGCACGAAUGGCGUAACGAUUUGGGCGCUGUCUCAACAGCCCACCCGGCGAAAUUGUAGUACUGGUGAAGAUGCCAGUUACCCGCAACUAGACGGAAAGACCCCAUGGAGCUUUACUGUAGCUUAAUACUGAGGAUUGGUAAUUGAUGUACAGGAU
rnacentral:rRNA from 1 species